CCUACGGGUGGCAGCAGUGGGGAAUAUUGGACAAUGGACCGAGAGUCUGAUCCAGCAAUUCUGUGUGCACGAUGAAGUUUUUCGGAAUGUAAAGUGCUUUCAGUUGGGAAGAAAGAAAUGACGGUACCAACAGAAGAAGUGACGGCUAAAUACGUGCCAGCAGCCGCGGUAAUACGUAUGUCACGAGCGUUAUCCGGAUUUAUUGGGCGUAAAGCGCGUCUAGGUGGUUAUGUAAGUCUGAUGUGAAAAUGCAGGGCUCAACUCUGUAUUGCGUUGGAAACUGUAUAACUAGAGUACUGGAGAGGUAAGCGGAACUACAAGUGUAGAGGUGAAAUUCGUAGAUAUUUGUAGGAAUGCCGAUGGGGAAGCCAGCUUACUGGACAGAUACUGACGCUAAAGCGCGAAAGCGUGGGUAGCAAACAGGAUUAGAUACCCUUGUAGUC
rnacentral:rRNA from 1 species